CGACGGCGUCAGAACCGAACGCAACGACUGCAAAGCAGUCGCGCUCGCAGUCGGGCACACCAAAGAGAACGCACAUAAAGUAUUUUUUCAUCGGUCCCUCUCUCGCCAUGUCUCUGCUGAAGAAAUGUUGGUGAAGGCAAAGAGGCCCAGCAAUUAAAAGAGCUAGACUUUUGUGCACCUUUGCAUUUUAAAUAAUGCGCCCCUUUUUUUGUAAAUGUAAACACAACCAAUUAAAAUAUUUUGUGUGGGUUUUAAAUACUUGUAUUUCUUAAAAAAAUAUAUUUUUAAAUAACGAUUUACAUAGCCGGACAUGUCUAAAAAAUGUAUAGUUUAAUUAUUGUUAUUUGAAGUUUCAAAAAUAUAUUUUUAAAUAACGAUUAUAUCCUGAUUUGAUGUGCAACAGAACAUGCAUAUUUGGCAAACGGGACAUGCAAAAAAAAACUGAACAACAACGAUUCCCAGGUGAACUUUUUAAAACAUCGGUCACACUACAAAGAAUAGGAUAUUUCUGGAUAUAACUGCUCAAGUUAAAGGCAACGCAGACUCAUGAUGCUGGCAAAGAGGUGCCAACGACCCCCGUUUCACCGAUAACUGCCGAGCCAAAAUUGUUGUUUUCGGUAAACAUGUACGGUGUUAAAUUAAAAUGUAACAUUAUCAUAAUAA